AACCACUCACGCCUAGCGUGGUAUUGGGGCACGCGGUCUCCGCGGCCCUCAAAAUUAGUGGCGGCGCCGGUGGGCUCUAAGCGUAGUACAUACUCCCGCUAUAGAGUUCCCCCCGGUGGCUCGCCAGAACCCCUCUAUUUUCUUAC
rnacentral:misc_RNA from 1 species